CACCUGCCCUCUGCACGUGGGC
rnacentral:miRNA from 1 species